rnacentral:rRNA from 1 species
UACGAAGGGUGCUAGCGUUAUUCGGAAUUAUUGGGCGUAAAGGGUGCGUAGGCGGCAUGUUAAGUCAACUGUUAAAGACCUCAGCCUAACUGGGGAUCGGCGGUAGAUACUGAUGUGCUAGAGGAUGGAAGAGAGAAGUGGAAUUCUUGGAGUAGCGGUAAAAUGCGCAGAUAUCAGGAGGAACACCGGUGGCGAAGGCGGCUUGCUGGGCCAGUUCUGACGCUGAGGAGCGAAAGCGUGGGGAGCGAACCGG